rnacentral:tRNA from 1 species
GCCUGAGUGGCUCAGUUCAUUGAGUGUCUGACUUUGGCUCAGGUCAUGAUCUCAGGGUUCAUGAGUUCAAGCCCCACCUCAGGCU